AGAUUCCAACACCAGCUUUUCUACUUCUGGCUCCAAAAUGAGAUGGCUGGUUGACUAUAAUUUCUUAAACACAUUGCUGCUAAUCUUUUGAAAGGAUUUCUAUUUUUGACCUACAUUCAGACACACCCUGCUGUUUGACAAAGCUUAUUUUCAAGUCUGGUUCACAAGAGCAUUGCAGGGACUCCAAGACUUGGAGGUAAUUCUCCUAGAAAUAUAAAAGUUUCCUUUGGAUAAUUAACCACUGCCACAGGAAACUUGAAGUACCUAGAAAUCUGACUUUCCAGGACAACAUCACUCUAUUGGUGGAGCUGGGGAAACAAAGCCCUUAUCCCAGCAUGCUCUGCUCUGAAGACUGAAGUCCGGAGCCUGUGGGGCAGAAUCAAUGGAUCAGUGGGACGCGAGGAAGCUAAGACAAACACCGGGAAACAAGAUGCAAUUACUGUUUAUCUAAACUAUCCUCAGGCAACAAGACACAGAUGUUUGAGCUCCACAAACAGUUUUUCUCACGAGUCUUAACUGUUGUAAAAUGUAAAAUUGACCUGAAUGAAUGAUUGCUUAAAGAUUUGGA